AGCGAGGGAGGAGGAGGAGGAGGAGGAGGAGGCGGCGGCCGCCGCGGCGCGUUCCCGCCCGCGCGUCCCGGUGGCGCCCUGGGCUCGAGCUCUUGCGCCCCGGAGCCGGGGCCCGCGAUCGGCCGCGGCUUGCGAGACGCCCGCCACCCGGGGGAACUUCUCAGCAGACUUUUGGGGCCCUCGAGCCACAGGACUGCCCCGAGCCGGCAGCCUCUACCCGCACGUUCGGCACGGAGCCGGGAGGGCCCUGCCCAGGAGCGCAUAGAAAAAGGAUGAGUCAAAGCAUAAAAGCAGGUAAUGGGCUGUCCUCAAAUGAGCCAUCAAGAUGUCACAGACUUUUGCUAUCAGCCCAUCAUCUGAACAACCAUCCAGCUGAGUGCAUCUUCAGUGAUCUUCUCCCUUUUCCUGCUCCAUGGGAAGAGGAUCUCCUGCCAUCAGACGACAGGGACACAGAAAAACCUGGCAGGGAGGAUGAUUUCUGGUGUCCGGGAACAGUUAAGAUAGAUCCUCCCCUUUACCUGAAAAGAUUGGUUACACCUGCUUAAAUUCCAGCUGGCCACGAAGUCCUGCCCCGAGGGCAGUCGUCCAGCACGGUCUUUCUAUGAGAGCCCGUCGUUAGCACUCGUGUGAAGGCCUUCCGUGAACUGGACCUGCUCACUGCUCUGUGCCUGGCUGUGCUGAAGCUCGCCUCCCCCUCCGUCACCACAACCCGACCAGAGGCCGUAAAGUCAUCAGUGCAAACCUGCUUCAAAGUGGACCAAAUUUCAUGGUCAACAUGAAAAAGGGUACAACAGGCACCAUCAUGAAGAUGAAACAGUUAUCAAAAUUGAUAAAAUUUCCAUCUUGUGAGAAGUUCAUCUUGAUUUAUAAAUAUUUUUAAAACUUAUUUCAGGGAUACAGCUCAGCGGUACAGCACCUGCCUGGCAAGCCAACACUGAAUUCAAUUCCUGGUACCAAAAAAACCUUACAUGCAGCGCUGAGCUAACGCUUAGAAUGGCCAAUGAAGGAAUCUGUUGUUAGUUUUUUGGCUUAAUUUUGCUAUAUAGUUAUACAGUAUCAAUAGUAAACAUACCAGAACUGCUUACUGUACAGCCAGGCACUGUACAUAAACAUAUUUGGAGGUACCUCA